GAGGGUAUAGCUCAGUGGUAGAGCCCUUGCUUAGCAUGCACGAGGUCCUGGGUUCACCCCUGUAUCGCCA
rnacentral:tRNA from 1 species